GUAAAGGCUCUUUUCAGAGCCUUUCAGACUUUCUAGAAAGCAGUGU
rfam:Phalacrocorax carbo contig33385, whole genome shotgun sequence.